GUGCUCGCUUGGGUAGCACAUAUACUAAAAUGGAAACGGUGCAGAGAAGAUUAGCAUGGCCCCACACAGGAUAGCACGCAAAUUCGUGAGCAUUCUAUAUUAAA